AGGCGUAUAAGGUAGUGGACUAUCCCGCGAGUCUUCUAAACUUGCGACAGGGGUUCGAAUCCCCUUACGCCUG
rnacentral:tRNA from 1 species